rnacentral:lncRNA from 1 species
GUUGCACUGUGCUAGUGUGGAUCUGGUCUUUGCCCCAGUUCUCCCAGUCUGACUGGUGCAGUUUUUACAUCUUUGCUGUACAGAUGUGACCAGAACAACAUGUUCCCUCCUGAUUUACUUUGGCAAAAAGCCAUGAAAUUAGUCAUGGCUGUAUUGUAGCACCAUGAAAAUUGUGGGGAUCAUUGCUGGGCCUCUUUCCAAAAUUCCUGGUGAUGAGAAGAGCAUUAAUGAGCUGUGAUUACCCUGGUACACAGGCCACAUCCAACCCUUCCUAUCCUGUGAGGGAGCUGCAGAAAGGUGACUGUUCUGACACAGGUAAGCUGAGUUCCACUAGCUGUGUGGGAGAAGUGGAGAAGACCUGGUGUUCUUCAAAUUUGGGGACCUUUCACUGUCAAAUGAGGCAUAAAUAUUUUGUCUUCUACAGCAAUUUGUGUGGGAUGGAGUGGAACUGGGAGAGGGAGGAAGAGCUGAUGUUGUGGCCCUGUAAGCUACAGCCCAAGGGUGGCAUCAGGUGGCCUCAGGAAGCCACAAGCAGGGAGAUGGAAUCUUGGCUCCACCUCUUGGGCUCUCAGCAGCUCUGUGAAACUUCUCAGCCUUCUCCAUCUGUCAAGACACUCCAAUAAAUCCCAUUUUAUUUGCCUUGAGCUAUCUCAAGGGUUUUAAUUACAAGCUCCCAUAUAAAGAAGAGUGACAAGGAGUAGCAGAUGGAUUAAUAAGGAAUUUUGCAGGAUACAGGUUACUGGUUCCUUUAUGCUCUGCCCACCACAGCCAACUUACCGCUGCUCUCAAUUAAAUGAUUAACCAAUGUCCAAUUAACAGCCAUGGGACAGAGCCUCCUAAUUUCAAAGCUCUUUAUUGUCUUCUCCAUGUGAGUUUUUUUCCCCAGGUGUUCUACACAAUCAAAGCCAAAGACUUAACAAGAAUCACAGAGUCAUAGAUUGGGUUGGAAGGGAACUUAAAAUUCGUCCAGCUCCAUCUCUGCCAUGGGCAGGGACACCUUUCAACUUCCAGGGUGCUCCAAGCCCCAUCCAACAUGGCCUGGGAUACUUCCAGGAAUGGAACAGCUACAGCUGCUCUGGGAAAUCCAUUCCAGGGCCUCAUCACCCUCACAGGAAGAAAUUCCUGCCCAAUAUCUCAUCCAACCCUACCCUCUGGCAGUCAGAAGCCAUUCCCCCUUGUCCAGUUCCUCCAUCCCUUGUCCCAAGCCUUCUCCAGCUCUCCUGGAGCCCCUUUAGACACUGGAAGGGAUUCUAAGGUCUCCCUGGAGCCCCCUUCCCUUCCCUUCCCUUCCCUUCCCUUCCCUUCCCUUCCCUUCCCUUCCCGCACCUUCCC